AAAGAAUAGUAUUUAUUAGAUUUGCGGACAACAUAACAGCACUAGCUCCAAGUUCAACACAAUUAAGAAGAGUAAUGAAACAGAUGGAUCUAAUUUUUACACAAUUUGGACUGAAAAUUAACACAAAUAAAACUAAAACACUAAUUGCUUCAAAAUUUCGUCGGGUUAAGGAACAAAUUGACAUCAGAGGGACACAUAUAGAACAAGAAAACAAAUUUAGAUAUUUAGCAGCUUAAUUACACAAGACUCCA